CGGAAGGAUCAUUAUCAAGAACGGAGCUUCGCGCUCCGGGGGCAUCGCGGCCUUCGCGGCCCCUUGAUUCUUCACCCGUGUGUAUCUACCUUCUGUUGCUUUGGCGGACCCUCGGGGGCAGCCCCGACGCAGAUCCCGGGGCCCAUCCCGGGCUGCGAGUGCCCGUCAAAGGCCUUGAAAACCCUAGUUAGUAGUGUUGUCCGAGUCUAUGAUGGAAAUCGUCAAAACUUUCAACAACGGAUCUCUUGGUUCUGGCAUCGAUGAAGAACGCAGCGAAAUGCGAUAAGUAAUGUGAAUUGCAGAAUUCAGUGAAUCAUCGAAUCUUUGAACGCACAUUGCGCCCCUUGGAAAUUCCUUGGGGCAUGCCUGUUCGAGCGUCAUUGCACCCGUCAAGCGUUGCUUGGUCUUGGGCCCUCGCCUCCCGGGGCGUGCCCGAAAGCCAGUGGCGGUCCGGCGCGGACUUCAAGCGUAGUGAAUCUAUCGUUCGCUUUCGAAGUCGCGGCCGUGGCCCCGCCAGCCAACCCUUCCACUCCAACGAUUGACCUCGGAUCAGGUAGGGAUACCCGCUGAACUUAAGCAUAUCAUAA
rnacentral:rRNA from 1 species